GGAGGAUUAGCCUAACCGGUAAGGCAGCGGUCUUGAAAACCGCCGGGUUAACGCCCUUGGGGGUUCGAGUCCCUCAUCCUCCG
rnacentral:tRNA from 1 species